GUACUUCCUCUUCUGUCAGUUCUGAAAAGCUACCAGACUCAGUGAGAGGCAAGGACUUUUCAUCUUUAGGGCAUUCUGACCACGUCCUGCUUCAGAGAGAUUGUUCCCGGCGUCUCAGUGCUAUGGGGAGCAGGUUCCUCCUGGUCCUGCUCUCAGGUCUCACUGUCUUACUGGCUCUGCCAGGAUCAGAAGCCAAGAAUUCUGGAGCUUCCUGUCCUCCAUGCCCUAAAUAUGCCAGCUGCCACAACAGCACCCACUGUACUUGUGAAGAUGGCUUUCGGGCCAGGUCUGGCAGGACAUACUUUCAUGAUUCCUCUGAGAAGUGUGAAGAUAUUAAUGAAUGUGAAACCGGGCUGGCAAAGUGCAAGUAUAAAGCAUAUUGUAGGAAUAAAGUUGGAGGUUACAUCUGUAGCUGUUUGGUAAAAUAUACUUUAUUCAACUUUCUGGCUGGUAUUAUAGAUUAUGAUCAUCCGGAUUGUUACGAGAACAAUAGUCAAGGGACGACACAGUCAAACGUGGAUAUUUGGGUGAGUGGGGUGAAGCCUGGAUUUGGGAAACAGCUGGUACGUAUAACUAUGCCAUUUUCCUACCCAAACAUUAACAUGUCUUCCUGUGAUUUUUAGGGUAGGGUAGUUCUAUCCAGGGGUAAUUUUGUCCUCUGUCCCAAGGUCAUCUGUCAAUGUCUGGGGACACUUUUGGUUGUCAUACCUUGGGGGUGAUGUGUGUGACUGGCAUCUGGUGGAUGGAGACCAGGGAUACAGCUCAACAUCCUACAGUGCCCAGGACAGCCUCCCACAAUCAAGAAGUGCCUAGUGCCACAUGUCCAUAGAGAUAGAGAAAUACAAGCGUAGGGGGAAAGUGCCUCAGCUGGCAUUCAAAGACCUACAUCAAGCACCUAGAUUCUCAAUGCCACACGCACCUUGUAGCACCUUAAUAAAUAUCGUUGCCUUCUGGGCUCCCCACUCCAACACUUGUGCAUAUUCCCUAUUUCUUACAUUUCAGUAAGAGUCAAUCUAAUUAGCUUAAUUUUUUUGGAAGGAAAAUCUGAGAAGAAAUGGAAGCAGAGAGGACUUUGCAAGAAGGGCUACUCAACUAAUUCAAAGCGUGGAGUUGAGCAUCUGGAAUGCGAGUUUUGCUUCUCCAGGAAAGGGUCAAAUUUCUGAAUUUGAUAUAGUCUAUGAAACCAAGAGGUGCAAUGAGACAAGGGAGAAUGCUUUUCUGGAAGCUGGAAAUAACACCAUGGAUAUCAACUGUGCUGAUGCUUUAAAAGGAAACCUAAGAGAGAGCACUGCAGUUGCCCUAUCACUUAUCAAUCUCUUGGGGAUAUUCUGAAUGCAUCCUUUUUUAGUAAACGAAAAGGGAUGCAGGAAGUAAAACUGAACUCUUACGUUGUGAGCGGCACCGUCGGUUUGAAGGAAAAAAUUUCCCUCUCUGAACCUGUGUUCCUGACUUUUCGCCAUAAUCAGCCUGGUGACAAGAGAACAAAACAUAUCUGUGUCUACUGGGAGGGAUCAGAGGGAGGCCGCUGGUCCACGGAGGGCUGCUCUCAUGUGCACAGCAACGGUUCUUACACCAAAUGCAAGUGCUUCCAUCUGUCCAGCUUUGCCGUCCUCGUGGCUCUUGCCCCCAAGGAGGACCCUGUGCUGACCGUGAUCACCCAGGUGGGGCUGACCAUCUCUCUGCUGUGCCUCUUCCUGGCCAUCCUCACCUUCCUCCUGUGCCGGCCCAUCCAGAACACCAGCACCUCCCUCCAUCUAGAGCUCUCCCUCUGCCUCUUCCUGGCCCACCUCCUGUUCCUGACGGGCAUCAACAGAACUGAGCCUGAGGUGCUGUGCUCCAUCAUUGCAGGGCUGCUGCACUUCCUCUACCUGGCUUGCUUCACCUGGAUGCUCCUGGAAGGGCUGCACCUCUUCCUCACCGUCAGGAACCUCAAGGUGGCCAACUACACCAGCACGGGCAGAUUCAAGAAGAGGUUCAUGUACCCUGUAGGCUACGGGAUCCCAGCUGUGAUUAUUGCUGUGUCAGCAAUAGUUGGACCCCAGAAUUAUGGAACAUUUACUCAAUAAACCUGGUGUUCUACUUCCAAGUUCUGUGGAUUUUGAGAAGCAAACUUUCCUCCCUCAAUAAAGAAGUUUCCACCAUUCAGGACACCAGAGUCAUGACAUUUAAAGCCAUUUCUCAGCUAUUUAUCCUGGGCUGUUCUUGGGGCCUUGGUUUUUUUAUGGUUGAAGAAGUAGGGAAGACGAUUGGAUCAAUCAUUGCAUACUCAUUCACCAUCAUCAACACCCUUCAGGGAGUGUUGCUCUUUGUGGUACACUGUCUCCUUAAUCGCCAGGUUCGAAUGGAAUAUAAAAAGUGGUUUAGUGGGAUGCGGAAAGGGGUAGAAACUGAAAGCACUGAGAUGUCUCGCUCUACUACCCAAACCAAAACGGAAGAAGUGGGGAAGUCCUCAGAAAUCUUUCAUAAAGGAGGCACUGCAUCAUCAUCUGCAGAGUCAACCAAGCAACCGCAGCCACAGGUUCAUCUCGUCUCUGCUGCUUGGCUAAAGAUGAACUGACCUGGCAAGUGCCAUGGCAAUGACCCGGAAGUUACCGCUCCUUUCCGUUUGUCUACAGCGCCCCUGUGGUCACACAUAGAUUGGACAAAUGCCACUAUUUCUAGCUUUCCUGUGAAAAGUCUAGGCUCAUUCACCUAUUUUGGCUUUUUAUGUUCAUAGAAAGAACAAGACAUUUGGGAGAAUUCUUAGAUCCAGAGUCCAGUAGUGUGGCACGUGCAAUGAAGUGUCGGAAGGAUGCAUUUUAAAGAUGGCGGGCGGGAGAAGUGGAUUUUCUUCUUGCAGCUACUGCCACCUUGCCAGAAACUCACUAACUGGCAUCUGGAUUCAGCUCAUAGUUCCCUUUCUGGCCUCUCUGCUGUAUUUUAUGCUCCCAAAGAUCUUACAUUAACACUCCACAUUCACAUAAUUCAACAAUUUUCAUAUGGAUCAGUAUUAAAGAGGGUGUUGCAUUUUGCAAUACAAAAAUGCAUUAUCAGGUGCUGGAGAGGAUGUGGAGAAAUAGGAACACUUUUACACUGUUGGUGGGACUGUAAACUAGUUCAACCAUCGUGGAAGUCAGUGUGGCGAUUCCUCAGGGAUCUAGAACUAGAAAUACCAUUUGACACAGCUAUCCCAUUACUGGGUAUAUACCCAAAGGACUAUAAAUCAUGCUGCUAUAAA
ensembl:lncRNA novel transcript